CGCUUGCUGGUGUAUCUUGCAGCCACAUCCUGAUGUGAAGCCGUCUGCUUCACUUUGAAUAUGUGGGCACUGAAGCUAUGUGACGAUGAAAAAAUGCCAGUGAAAAGAACCGAGAACAUGUUUGUUUGUGUUCAUCUUCACUACAUUUUGCUUCCCAGACAUUUUUUAUUUCCUUUUCAAAAGAAUGAUUCCGAUGUCGAACAUGGUUGUUUCAGGUCAGAGGAUCUUGGUGAUCACUGCUGCCACAUGGUCAGAUAGGCCAUGGUAUUAACGAAGAUAGGGCUUUGGUAUAAACACAUGAUUGGAAUGAGGCGUUCUGAGCUCCAAAAGGCUGAAGCCAAGGUUAUGAUAUUGAGCGACAAGAUCACCGCACAGUUAAUCCUUCUCCGAAAGAUAUAUUUAGCUCUUGAUCAUUACUCUCCUACCUUGCUGCAUCCCGGUGUGUCUGUCUCGGUUGGAGAUGUCGUGCAUGCUUCUGCGUCCAUGUAUUUUGCAAUGACCCAGUAUAAUAUUCGGAACAUCACAAACGUUAGCAUGGUUGCCUUUGUAUGUAGCUGCUGGACGCUUUCUUGAAGACAUGCAAACUUGUUGCAGAUUUGAGAAGUAAACAAAAUGGAGGCGAUGCAACGUGAAUGAUGAUUGAGGAGGCGGUAUGGUAAGAUCUCCAUUGGUAUAGCUAAUGUUCAUCAUGUGCUUAUCCAUGUUCUAUGCCUGCAGCUACAGACCAAGGUUUUUAUGUGGGAAGUCUCGAUUGAAGCUCAAGGUUUAAAGAUAUACUAACAGAGGCAAAAACUGGGCACUGCCUAUUUUUAAGAAUUUAUCCAGUUCGUGUUUACGUGACCUUGAACUUUUAGUGGAACAUUUGUAUACACAUUUCGUUAGAAAUUAGGAUCAGAUUUCUAAACUAACAAAGAUGCAAUGAAAAAACUUAAAUUGUUAGGUUCCCACUUUCGAAACACCUUCACAUUUUACUUCUCAUCGAAUGCAUUUCCUUAUGGUUGGCUCUUUGAAUAUCCUUUUAUCAUGUUCCUGUUAAACUUCUUUGCACCGAUUUGAUUAGCAACUGGAUAUCUGAUUGGGGGGGUUUACGCUUGCUGGUGUAUCUUGCAGCCACAUCCUGAUGUGAAGCCGUCUGCUUCACUUUGAAUAUGUGGGCACUGAAGCUAUGUGACGAUGAAAAAAUGCCAGUGAAAAGAACCGAGAACAUGUUUGUUUGUGUUCAUCUUCACUACAUUUUGCUUCCCAGACAUUUUUUAUUUCCUUUUCAAAAGAAUGAUUCCGAUGUCGAACAUGGUUGUUUCAGGUCAGAGGAUCUUGGUGAUCACUGCUGCCACAUGGUCAGAUAGGCCAUGGUAUUAACGAAGAUAGGGCUUUGGUAUAAACACAUGAUUGGAAUGAGGCGUUCUGAGCUCCAAAAGGCUGAAGCCAAGGUUAUGAUAUUGAGCGACAAGAUCACCGCACAGUUAAUCCUUCUCCGAAAGAUAUAUUUAGCUCUUGAUCAUUACUCUCCUACCUUGCUGCAUCCCGGUGUGUCUGUCUCGGUUGGAGAUGUCGUGCAUGCUUCUGCGUCCAUGUAUUUUGCAAUGACCCAGUAUAAUAUUCGGAACAUCACAAACGUUAGCAUGGUUGCCUUUGUAUGUAGCUGCUGGACGCUUUCUUGAAGACAUGCAAACUUGUUGCAGAUUUGAGAAGUAAACAAAAUGGAGGCGAUGCAACGUGAAUGAUGAUUGAGGAGGCGGUAUGGUAAGAUCUCCAUUGGUAUAGCUAAUGUUCAUCAUGUGCUUAUCCAUGUUCUAUGCCUGCAGCUACAGACCAAGGUUUUUAUGUGGGAAGUCUCGAUUGAAGCUCAAGGUUUAAAGAUAUACUAACAGAGGCAAAAACUGGACACUGCCUAUUUUUAAGAAUUUAUCCAGUUCGUGUUUACGUGACCUUGAACUUUUAGUGGAACAUUUGUAUACACAUUUCGUUAGAAAUUAGGAUCAGAUUUCUAAACUAACAAAGAUGCAAUGAAAAAACUUAAAUUGUUAGGUUCCCACUUUCGAAACACCUUCACAUUUUACUUCUCAUCGAAUGCAUUUCCUUAUGGUUGGCUCUUUGAAUAUCCUUUUAUCAUGUUCCUGUUAAACUUCUUUGCACCGAUUUGAUUAGCAACUGGAUAUCUGAUUGGGGGGGUUUACGCUUGCUGGUGUAUCUUGCAGCCACAUCCUGAUGUGAAGCCGUCUGCUUCACUUUGAAUAUGUGGGCACUGAAGCUAUGUGACGAUGAAAAAAUGCCAGUGAAAAGAACCGGGAACAUGUUUGUUUGUGUUCAUCUUCACUACAUUUUGCUUCCCAGACAUUUUUUAUUUCCUUUUCAAAAGAAUGAUUCCGAUGUCGAACAUGGUUGUUUCAGGUCAGAGGAUCUUGGUGAUCACUGCUGCCACAUGGUCAGAUAGGCCAUGGUAUUAACGAAGAUAGGGCUUUGGUAUAAACACAUGAUUGGAAUGAGGCGUUCUGAGCUCCAAAAGGCUGAA